rnacentral:rRNA from 1 species
UAGGGAAUAUUGGACAAUGGGUGAGAGCCUGAUCCAGCCAUGCCGCGUGCAGGAAGAAGGCGUUAUGCGUUGUAAACUGCUUUUGCCAGGGGAUAAAAUGAGCGUGCGCGCUUAAUUGAAGGUACCUGGUGAAUAAGCCACGGCUAACUACGUGCCAGCAGCCGCGGUAAUACGUAGGUGGCAAGCGUUGUCCGGAUUUAUUGGGUUUAAAGGGUGCGUAGGUGGCCCUGUAAGUCAGUGGUGAAAUAUCUCAGCUUAACUGAGAGGGUGCCAUUGAUACUGCAGGGCUUGAGUACAGAUGAGGUAGGCGGAAUUGACGGUGUAGCGGUGAAAUGCAUAGAUAUCGUCAAGAACACCGAUAGCGAAGGCAGCUUACCAAGCUGUAACUGACACUGAGGCACGAAAGUGUGGGGAUCAAACAGGAUUAGAUACCCCAGUAGUCCCUGAGCGGGCUGGCAAGGCGCAU